rnacentral:rRNA from 1 species
GAGUUUGAUCUUGGCUCAGAUUGAACGCUGGCGGCAGGCCUAACACAUGCAAGUCGAGCGGAUGAGAGGAGCUUGCUCCUUGAUUCAGCGGCGGACGGGUGAGUAAUGCCUAGGAAUCUGCCUGAUAGUGGGGGACAACGUUUCGAAAGGAACGCUAAUACCGCAUACGUCCUACGGGAGAAAGCAGGGGACCUUCGGGCCUUGCGCUAUCAGAUGAGCCUAGGUCGGAUUAGCUAGUAGGUGAGGUAACGGCUCACCUAGGCGACGAUCCGUAACUGGUCUGAGAGGAUGAUCAGUCACACUGGAACUGAGACACGGUCCAGACUCCUACGGGAGGCAGCAGUGGGGAAUAUUGGACAAUGGGCGAAAGCCUGAUCCAGCCAUGCCGCGUGUGUGAAGAAGGUCUUCGGAUUGUAAAGCACUUUAAGUUGGGAGGAAGGGCUGCAAGUUAAUACCUUGUAGUUUUGACGUUACCAACAGAAUAAGCACCGGCUAACUUCGUGCCAGCC